rnacentral:rRNA from 1 species
ACUUUCGGUAGUGGUGGAUAUAGUUGUUUAGUAGCGGGCGGGUGAGUAAUGCAUGAGAACCUGCCCUUCAGAGGGGGACAACAGUUGGAAACGGCUGCUAAUACCCCCAUAUGCCGAGAGGUGAAAGGAGCGAUCCGCUGAAGGAGAGGCUCAUGUCCUAUCAGCUAGUUGGUGAGGUAAGUGCUCACCAAGGCGAUGACGGGUAGCCGGCCUGAGAGGGCGACCGGCCACACUGGAACUGAGAUACGGUCCAGACUCCUACGGGAGGCAGCAGUGGGGAAUAUUGGGCAAUGGGCGGAAAAGCCUGACCCAGCGACGCCGCGUGAGGGAAGAAGGCCUUUGGGUCGUAAACCUCUGUUGUAUGGGAAGAAGGAAGUGACGGUACCAUACGAGGAAGUCCCGGCUAACUACGUGCCAGCAGCGGC